AUGGCUAAACUGUAAAGCACUAGGCUUCCAAACCGGGGUCCUAGGUUCAAAUCCUGGU
rnacentral:tRNA from 1 species